rnacentral:tRNA from 1 species
GGGGACAUAGCUCAGUUGGGAGAGCACCUGCCUUGCAAGCAGGAGGUCGUGAGUUCGAUUCUCAUUGUUUCCA